GUGUCAGCAGCCGCGGUAAUACGUAGGUGGCAAGCGUUGUCCGGAUUUACUGGGCGUAAAGAGCGCGCAGGCGGUCGUCCAAGUCGAAUGUGAAAGCCCCCGGCUCAACUGGGGAGGGUCAUUCGAUACUGUUCGACUCGAAGGCAGGAGAGGGAAGUGGAAUUCCGGGUGUAGUGGUGAAAUGCGUAGAUAUCCGGAGGAACACCAGUGGCGAAGGCGACUUUCUGGCCUGUUCUUGACGCUGAGGCGCGAAAGCUAGGGGAGCAAACAGGAUUAGAUACCCUGGUAGUCC
rnacentral:rRNA from 1 species